rnacentral:lncRNA from 1 species
ACCCCCUCUGUUCUUUCUUCUUUAGCCUACACCCUCUGUUCUUUCUUCUUUAUCUUCGUACAGUUGGUUAAUUCACCAUUAUUUAGCUGAAGAGGUCUUUUUUGUAUGCCAAGGUUUUAACAAAUAUCAUAUUAACCCCAAUUUAAAUGGAAUUCAGGUAUUGGAAAAUACCUUUCUCAAUGGCGCUUGGAAUUUUUUGUGAGAUUUGUGUUUUUCGUCAUCUUCCUUGCUUUUGCGCUUUUUAAUCCUCGGAUCAUCUUAAUUAGUCAAUCAAACAAACCAAAAAUUCAUAUAAAUAAACCAUAAGUAUAUUCAUACAAUAACUUAGAGACAAUCAGUAAAGCCAAUGCCGAUUUCAACGGACACCAGCGAAGCAGAUGAACCAACAAAGGAGAACACAAAAGUAUUUGGGCUAAAGAGAAUUAAUUAAUAGUAAACAAGAGCAAGGGGAUUCCAUCUAUGCACUUCAAUUUUUAUCUAUGCUCGUUUCACUCUUCAUUUCUUCCUUUAGGGCUUCAUUAUUACACUUCCAUUGAAGCACCAUACCAGAAAACUCCAUAAUUCUGAUUCAGAAAACCUAAUUUAGAUUCAAACACCGAAAAAUUCUUCAAUGAAUUUUGAAAAUUUAAUUAGAUAUCCUUAAUUUAAUUUUGAGGAAAAAAACCUAGUUUACGAACUUUUAGCCAAAACCUUAACAUUAGAUUUCAGAAUUAGAGAGAAGAAAAAUGACAGCGGUGUAGAUGUAGAGGCUCAAAAACUCCAGUUUACGCACUUCUAACCAAAAUCCUAACAUUCGAUUGCAGAUUGGGAGAGAAAAAAAAUGACAGAUGAGCAGAGGUAGAGAGGCUAGAGUUAGAGAUUAACAACAAAAUUACCUUACUUGAAUCGAUUGAGAGGCUAGUGGUGACGGAGGCGGCGGAAGGCUGGCGGUGGUGGCGGAGGCGACAUGCGAAACGCUGGCGGAGGUGGCGGAGGCGACAAGCGAAACGAGAGAGGGAGUGGAAGGAAAAUGGCGAGAGAAAAAUAACAAC